CCCUUAGAUGUUCUGGGCCGCACGCGCGCUACACUGACGGGGACAACGAGUUUGCAACCUGCGCCGGUAGGUGUGGGUAAUCUUUUGAGCCCUCGUCGUGCUGGGGCUAGAUCUUUGUAAUUUUCGAUCUCAAACGAGGAAUUCCUAGUAAACGCAAGUCAUCAGCUUGCAUUGAUUACGUCCCUGCCCUUUGUACACACCGCCCGUCGCACCUACCGAUUGAAUGGUCCGGUGAAAUCUCGGGACGGCGGCUUGGUCGCUUGCGUCCGACUGCUGAAACUUGAUUAAACCAUAUCAUUUAGAGGAAGGUGAAGUCGUAACA
rnacentral:rRNA from 1 species